rnacentral:rRNA from 1 species
GAUGAACGCUGGCGGCGUGCCUAAUACAUGCAAGUCGAGCGAACAGACGAGGAGCUUGCUCCUCUGACGUUAGCGGCGGACGGGUGAGUAACACGUGGAUAACCUACCUAUAAGACUGGGAUAACUUCGGGAAACCGGAGCUAAUACCGGAUAAUAUAUUGAACCGCAUGGUUCAAUAGUGAAAGACGGUUUUGCUGUCACUUAUAGAUGGAUCCGCGCCGCAUUAGCUAGUUGGUAAGGUAACGGCUUACCAAGGCGACGAUGCGUAGCCGACCUGAGAGGGUGAUCGGCCACGCUGGAACUGAGACGCGGUCCAGACUCCUACGGGAGGCAGCAGUAGGGAAUCUUCCGCAAUGGGCGAAAGCCUGACGGAGCAACGCCGCGUGAGUGAUGAAGGUCUUCGGAUCGUAAAACUCUGUUAUUAGGGAAGAACAAAUGUGUAAGUAACUAUGCACGUCUUGACGGUACCUAAUCAGAAAGCCACGGCCAACUACGU